rnacentral:rRNA from 1 species
ACUCAAAUGAAUUGACGGGGACCUGCACAACCAGUGGAGCAUGUGGUUUAAUUCGAGACGAACCGAAGAACCUUACCCGGGUUUGACAUUCUAUCGUGUAAGCCACUAGAAAUAGAGGAAGAUUUUGCCGAAAUGCAAAAUGAUAGAACAGGUGUUGCAUGGCUGUCGUCAGCUCGUGCCGUGGGGUGUUCCCUUCAGUGGGGUAACGAGCGCAACCCCUGCCAAAUGUUGAAUUGUUCAUUUGGGACUUCCAGAUUUUAUAUUUGGAGGAAGUGGGGACGACGUCAAGUCAGCAUGGCCCUUAUGUCCGGGGCGACACACAUGCUACAAUGGAGCCGACAAUGGGUUGCCAAGCCGCGAGGCGGAGCUAAUCCCAUCAAACGGCUUCUCAGUGGGGAUUGGAGGCUGCAACUCGCCUCCAUGAACGUGGAAUUGGUAGUAAUCGCGCAUCAGCUAUGGCGCGGUGAAUACGUUAUCAGGUCUUGUACACACCGCCCGU